UACGGAGGGUGCGAGCGUUGUCCGGAAUCAUUAGGCGUAAAGGGCGCGUAGGUGGCCCGGUCAGUUCGUGGUGAAAGCGCGGGGCUCAACCCUGCGUCGGCCAUGAAUACUGCCGCGGCUGGAGCACUGUAGAGGCAGGCGGAAUUCCGGGUGUAGCGGUGGAAUGCGUAGAGAUCCGGAAGAACACCGGUGGCGAAGGCGGCCUGCUGGGCAGUUGCUGACACUGAGGCGCGACAGCGUGGGGAGCGAACAGG
rnacentral:rRNA from 1 species